AAGAUGAGUCGUACCUCAUCUCGCUUUCGUCUUAUCUCUGAUUUUGUGUUCGUUUAUGUUUUGUGUGAUGUUUGUGUCAUCAAACAGCCCUCUGAUUUGAAUUAUUAUUCAUUUUAUUUCAUUCAGUAACAAUACAUAUCAUUGAAAUGAUACUAAAUAAACAUAAAACGGUUAAUAAAAAGGAGCAGAUAAAAGAAAACUUAGAUCAUCUGCCCUCUUUUGCUAUAUCAACUAAAUUAAAUGAAAAUAUCUCAAACGGAUCAAGAAUUCUAUCCAAUCAAAUCCCAAUAUUGAUCUAACAUGGUUUCUGCCACUGAGGCUCAAACGUCAAACAGGUUUUUACCCUCAAUGUUGCUUCUAUGGCUGAAGACAAUAAAUCAUUUUUAAUCAUUUAAAACAUAAUUCAUUCUCUUUUUUGCAUUGGUUACUUGUACCCUCUUGUCUGUGAUUGGCUGUUUGGUGGCACAUAACUCAGAGUUUUGAACAAAAUCAAAGAUAGGAUGAAAGCGAGAUGAAGCACAACGCAUCUAAAAACAUUUGUGUUGGAAAUGCAAAAAACGCUUUGGAAAGUAAAUAAUUCAUAUUUUCAUUUUCAGUUUUUCUCUUAAAAAAUUUGAUCUCCAAUCUAUAAAUUUUGCUCGCAAUACAGGUUCACAAAAAUCCCUCCAUACGUUGCUCCCAACUCUGGUCUGGAGUUGUCAGAGUUUUGUGACGAACCGGAAGGGUAAAAAUAAUCUGUGAAUACGUGAAACUGUAAAUGAAGAAACGCUAAUACGCGGGGAACACUGUACUGUGGUGUAGAAAUCUUGUUGUUUUACCCUGAAAAGUGAUGCUAACUUCCUCACUAACCUUGAUGGGAUUCUGUUGUUUUUACCGUCUUGUGGAUCUGUUUCAUUGUGGGAAAUGUGAUUGUAAGACUGGCUUUAACUUGAGGAAUGAAAACUGAAAAAAAGAAAACAAAUAUUUUUAAAUCUUCAAAAAGAAAAAUAAGAAAAAGGGAUCCUAAACGAAUUCUGUUUGAUAAACGUUUCAACAUAAAUAUCUGUCAUUCUUCCAGAUCGCUGCAGUUUAAACACUGAAACAGGAGAACUGACGAUCAAUGAUGUGAGACUGGAGCACAGCGGUGUGUACACCCCAGAGAUUAACAACAGAAUACUAACUGAUAUCAGACUACAGGUUCUCUCUCCAGUCCCCAAACCCAGCAUUAUUUCUAACUGUAACUCUGAGCAAACCCGGUGUAUCCUCACCUGUGUGUUUGACAGAACAGAUGAUCUGGGAGAUGUUCAGGUUUUCUGGAUUCUUGAUGACAGCAGUGUAAAAGAAGGCAGGAAGCUCUCCAUCACAAAGGAGACGACGGAGAGGACGUUUAUCUGCAGACUGAACAAUCCUGUCAGCUCUGAGAGCAGCACCGAGCUGAUAAACCCUCUUUUGCCUAAUAAACCACUUAUCGUUUCAUUGGCUGUUCUGAUCCCGUGUAUUUUAAUUUUCCUUGGGGUCCUGGUGUAUCUCUACAUAA